UACGUGAGGGGCGAACGUUGUUCGGUGUCACUGGGCUUAAAGGGCGCGUAGGUGGUUGCGUAAGUAACGUGUGAAAUCCCUCGGCUUACCCGGGGAAUUGCAUGUUAUACUGCGUGACUUGAGGAUCAGAGGGGAAUGGGGAACUCCAGGUGUAGCGGUGAAAUGCGCAGAUAUCUGGGGGAAGGCCGGCGGCGAAGGCGCCAUUCUGGCUGAUUCCUGACACUGAGGCGCGAAAGCCAGGGGAGCAAACGGG
rnacentral:rRNA from 1 species